rnacentral:sRNA from 1 species
UGUAGAGGAAGAUCGGUUAAGUUCGGCACGUCCUGUGCCAACACCGAUCUGACUCCCGACGCGAG